rnacentral:rRNA from 1 species
UACGUAGGGGGCAAGCGUUGUCCGGAUUUACUGGGCGUAAAGCGCGUGUAGGCGGCCGCACAGGUCCGUUGUGAAAACUGGAGGCUUAACCUUCAGAGGUCGACGGAAACCGUGUGGCUAGAGUCCGGAAGAGGAGAGUGGAAUUCCUGGUGUAGCGGUGAAAUGCGCAGAUAUCAGGAAGAACACCAAUGGCGAAGGCAGCUCUCUGGGACGGUACUGACGCUGAGACGCGAAAGCGUGGGGAGCGAACAGGAUUAGAUACCCUGGUAGUCCACGCCGUAAACGAUGGGUGCUAGGUGUGGGAGGUGUCGACUCCUUCCGUGCCGCAGCUAACGCAUUAAGCACCCCGCCUGGGGAGUACGGCCGCAAGGCUAAAACUCAAAGGAAUUGACGGGGCCCCGCACAAGCAGCGGAGCAUGUGGUUUAAUUCGAUGCAACGCGAAGAACCUUACCAGGGCUUGACAUGGUCGGGAAAACCGUAGAAAUACGGUCCUCCUUCGGGACUCGAUCACAGGUGGUGCAUGGCUGUCGUCAGCUCGUGUCGUGAGAUGUUGGGUUAAGUCCCGCAACGAGCGCAACCCCUGUCCCAUGUUGCCAGCGAGUAAUGUCGGGGACUCAUGGGAGACUGCCGGUGACAAAUCGGAGGAAGGUGGGGAUGAUGUCAAGUCAUCAUGCCCCUUAUGUCCUGGGCUACACACGUGCUACAUUGGCCGGUACAAAGGGCUGCAAACCCGCGAGGGUGAGCGAAUCCCAAAAAGCCGGUCCCGGUUCGGAUUGAAGGCUGAAACUCGCCUUCAUGAAGGUGGAGUUGCUAGUAAUCGCGGAUCAGCAACGUCGCGGUGAAUACGUUCUCGGGGCUUGUACACACCGCCCGUCACACCACGAAAGUCGGCAAUACCCGAAGCCGGUGAGCUAACCGCAAGGAGGCAGCCGUCGAAGGUAGGGUCGAUGAUUGGGGUG